AGAUUGAACGCUGGCGGCAUGCCUAACACAUGCAAGUCGAACGGGAGUAGCAAUACUCCAGUGGCGGACGGGUGAGGAACACGUAGGAAUUUGCCCUUAAGUGGGGGAUAGCCCGGGGAAACCCGGAUUAAUACCGCAUGAUCUCGAAAGAGCAAAGUGGGGGAUCGCAAGACCUCACGCUUUUGGAGAAGCCUACGUCGGAUUAGCUAGUUGGUAGGGUAAUGGCCUACCAAGGCGACGAUCCGUAACUGGUCUGAGAGGAUGAUCAGUCACACCGGAACUGAGACACGGUCCGGACUCCUACGGGAGGCAGCAGUGGGAAUAUGGACAAUGGGCGCAAGCCUGAUCCAGCAAUGCCGCGUGUGUGAAGAAGGCCUUGGUUGUAAAGCUCUUUCGCGCGCGACGAUGAUGACGGUAGCGCGAGAAGAGCCCCGGCUAACUUCGUGCCAGCAGCCG
rnacentral:rRNA from 1 species